AAUAGGAGGUGCAGAGAACAUGAGCUUCACAGUCUUAAGCACUUUACACAGCAGAGGAGAUUCUUGAAAUCCUCUUUGAAGAUUACUCACUAGAUUAAAAGAAGGAUGAAGACUGUAAUCCAGUGUAUAAUUUUCCUGGCCUGUGCGGCAUUGUACACUUCACAAACAAAUCCAUACUGCCAGUGUGUAAAAACAAUCAAGGGUGUAAACUUCUCUCUCAUUGCUGAUGUCAAGGAGUAUGGAAUACGUCCAUAUUGCGACAGGAGAGAAGUCAUUGUCAUCCUGAAGGAUGAGAAAUUACGGUGUCUUGACCCCAAACAAAGAUUCACCCAAGCACUUCUGCAAAGAAUGCGAAUGAAGAAGGCAAAUGCUGCUAAGAUGAACAGCCCAACGACAACCACAGCGCCAUCCAGAGUGUCACCCUCAACGUCAGCCACAGUGGUACCAUCAUCAACAUAAUGCAAACUGCUUAAGUUUAUCAUCCUCACAAUUAAAAUGAGGUAUCAGUUUGUAAGAGGAAAGAUCAGCACACCUUGUGGGGUCAUGCUUGUUGUGGUCCCUGUUUGUUUAAUCACAAGAAACAGGCAGUACAAUACUGGUACAAGUGAAUUUGUUUCACUUCACUUGUUUUGAGUUGUGCAAUUAGGCAGCCAAAAAUAACAGCAAGAUGUAAAAGUGUGAAAUGUUAACUUCAACUGCCAUGACUGAGUGGCACAUUUAGGAGAAAGUUUGUGAAGUUUCCUUUACCCAGAAUAUUCAUCUGGGUAAACAUAGUGCUCUUUUUCUUUUUAGAUUUUAGUUUGUAUGGAUGGGAAUGUCUUGCAUUUUACGUAUGCUGACGACACUGAUGUAUUUUUACCCUAAAUGUCCUAAGACUGAAUCCAUGGUGAAUGAAGAGCGUAUUUUUACUGUAAUUGUAUUGUAUCUGUAUCGACAUUGCUGUGCUACACAUUACAUUGUUAUUACACAUUGUAGCUGGUAUUAAACUGUCAUCUUUAAAACUUUCUGUAAAAGCAUUCUGUGAUGUAAUUCAGGCGAGCCGAUAAUUUGAAGGUCAGUAAUGUAAUGUAAUCUAUUAACAUUUAAGAAAUGAUGGUAAAUGUGAACUGUUUUCUAUUGUUGAUGUUAAAACAUAGCUUGUUUGUCUAAUUCAAAGGAUGUCUUGAUUUUUUUCUAUUGCAAACAAAUAUUUAUGUACAUACAUAUAUAUAUAUAUUAUAUAUAUCAUUCUGUAUGUGUACCAUGUUGUAAGGCUGAUUGUGUGAUCCUGAUGAAGAGCUGAAAUAAAUCUUGGCAUUUGAUUAUAACUAAA